CCAGACUUGACAUCAAGCCGUGAUGAGUUCAGGCACCUUUCUGAGCGCAGGAAUGCAGAUCGACAGCGUCCUCUUGCUAAAAAGGCCUUGUCUGGCAGGCCGGCCGGCACUGAAGGUAUGUGGAAUUUCCAGACUGGUGCUCAUGAAUAAGUGGUGCUCCUCGCUGGCUGCUCACUCUCCACUUACAUGUCUGCACGCUAAUAACGUGGAAAAGACGGAACGCCGAAUGCGAGACUGUGCAUAUCAUCAGCCUUCACCUCUUCCCUGCCCCCCCCACAUCCUCACCGCGCCACAUUCCGUUGUGCAGGGUCAGGCAGGUUAUCGGCGUCCUAAUCUGCGAACGUUAGCCCGACGAGGGCGCCGCGGUCCUUCAGGAGCCCCCACAAAGCCGUCUAAGGAGAGGAGGAGGAGAGGAGGAAGCCCCUUCAGCACCUACAGGAGGUCAAUCUCACUGAAUUUACUGUCCAGGCUGAAUAUGUUGCUCAUUUGUCUGGAAUCACGUAUGGUAAACAAACGGUGCUCCGCCAGGCCAGCCGAGGCACUUUUCCAGCAGGAAGUGAGUUGUGACCCCCCAGGUUCCCCCGGCGACGGAGGGAUGCAUGAGAAUGACGCUGGAGGAAUAAACAGAUGGAGACACGUAAAUCUGUGCUUGUUGCCGUAUUGUAGAUUUUUUAAGAUGGUCAUUAAUUACAUGGUUAAGUGUUUUCCUUUUCCGUUGCGUCGGAGCGUCGCUGGCGCUGACAUGUUUUGGAAAUCCUCUGCCCCCCCAACACGGUUUUCAGGAGCGGAGCGUGAACACGAGCGUGGUGGAGGCAGCCGGUGCCAGAUUAACAGAGUUUUUCAGCAAAUGAUCCUCGCCGACUGGCCAAUCUGUUCGAAUUCACACAGCCGACGAGAGUAGUGACACCAACUGCUGUGAUAGAGCGAGCAGGAAGUUGUACCGUGAGUCAUGUGACCUGUCUGUGGUUGGGCCUUGUCCAGCCAUCUGUGUCGGUUCUUAGUUCUGUGUUUUUGGCCUCCCUGGUGAAGUUAUUCGUCCAUCAACAUGUGGAAGGACGGAGCAGCAGAACGACUGUCUGUGUCUCACCUCACUGUGUUUCCACAGACGUGUCACACGCCACCUGGAUUCACCUCCAGCUUCUCAUGGAGGCAGCUAAUUAACCGUAA
rnacentral:lncRNA from 1 species